UAAGGAAUAUUGCUCAAUGGGAGAAAUCCUGAAGCAGCAACGCCGCGUGGAGGAUGAAGGGUCUAUGACUUGUAAACUCCUGUAAAGAAGGAAAAAAUUCCCAUUUGAUGGGAGAUGAUGGUACUUCUGGAGUAAGCCCCGGCUAACUACGUGCCAGCAGCCGCGGUAAUACGUAGGGGGCAAGCGUUGUCCGGAUUUACUGGGUGUAAAGGGUGCUCAGGCGGAUUUGUAAGUCAGAGGUGAAAUCUUACAGCUUAACUGUGAAACUGCCUUGGAUACUUCAAACCUAGAGUAUGGAAGAGAGUGAUGGAAUAUCUGGUGUAGCAGUGAAAUGCGUAGAUAUCAGAUAGAACACCAAUGGCGAAGGCAGUCACUUGGUCCAUUACUAACGCUAAAGCACGAAAGCGUGGGUAGCAAACA
rnacentral:rRNA from 1 species